rnacentral:rRNA from 1 species
GAAACGACAGCUAAUACAGGAUGAGCAUCCGGAAGGCAUUUUUGGGAUGGUAAAAGGGGCUAUGGGCCCCGCAUACGGAUGAGCCUGCGGUGCAUUAGCUAGUUGGUGAGGUAACGGCCCACCAAGGCGAUGAUGCAUAGCCGACCUGAGAGGGUGACCGGCCACAGUUGGGACUGAGACACCGGACCCAAACCUCCGUACGGGAGGCAGCAGGUAGGGUAAUUUUCGUCAAGUGGGGGGAACCCUGAACGAGCAAUGCCGCGUGAGUGAAGAAGGUCUUCGGAUCGUAAAGCUCUGUUGUAAGAGAAAAACGGACUCCAUAGGGAAUGAUGGAGGAGUGAUGGUAUCUUACCAGAAAGCCACGGCUAACUACGUGCC